UACGAAGGGGGGCUAGCGUUGCUCGGAAUUACUGGGCGUAAAGGGCGCGUAGGCGGCACUGUUAGUCAGGCGUGAAAGUCCUGGGCUCAACCUGGGAACUGCGCUUGAUACGGCAGAGCUAGAGGAUGGAAGAGGGUCGCGGAAUUCCCAGUGUAGAGGUGAAAUUCGUAGAUAGUUGGGAAGGAACACCGGUGGCGAAGGCGGCGACCUGGUCCAUUACUGACGCUGAGGCGCGACAGCGUGGGGAG
rnacentral:rRNA from 1 species